ACUGUGCAGAGCCCAGGCGCGUGGGUCGGUGUCGGGUGUGUGUGUACGUCUGUGUGUGUAAUGAAACUGGACGCCUUCCUUCCCGGCGAUCUUGACUUAACCUGUCAGCAGAGGGCUUGAGGUUAGACCACAGGUUGAACCUAGGUGGCUGCUGGAGAGAAACACUCUGUCUUCCUGCUUUGAGGACAGCUGAAGUCUUGCCACUUCUUCUGGAUGCUCUGACCAUCAGUAAGGGUGGAGUCUCCGGGAGGAUGGCUGUGGAAGAACUGCCAAUUCCAAGGGCCUGGUCAGGCAGAGGCAUUCUUACUAUUCCAAAACAAGGAAAGGGUAAAACCAAGAUGUCAAAGGCCCCGCUGGUGUGGAAGCAAAUUUCUGCCUCCACCAGCUGGAUGGCUGCUACCCCUGUACAGGUUCCUAACACUGGAACAGGGAUCAACCCAAGUGCUUGGGGCUCACCAUGUCCUCCUCCCCAGCCAGGACAGCAAGUGGAAGACACAGGCGAGCUGAAAGAGGCUCACUGUGUGCCCAGCCCUAACCCCCUGCCUCAUUGGCACCAGGCACCCAGGACUCCUCAGAACUCAGAGCCAGGGUUUGGGCAGCCUCCUCGUAGUGCUCCUUGAAUAGGAUUUAUAGGACUUGCACCAGGAGCUUUGGGCCAUUCCAGGGGACAUUGCUUUGGGGGAAAAAAGGACCCAAUAUGGGUAUCUAGAACUUGAAGCAUGUCGUCAGAGAUCGGAGCUCCAGGGAAUUGGAAAAUUAUGCUUCAGAGGUUCCCAAGGGAAUGAUGGCCUGAAUCCCACUCCUCCCCCAAAAUAAAGCUCCUUUGACCUCUUUCGUA
rnacentral:lncRNA from 1 species